UCUGUGUUAGUGCGUUCACGUGGCUUGCUGCCAGCAGCACCGGACAAGCCCGAGCGUUUAGGGGUGUGCGGUGAGGAGGAGCAGGGGCAUCUUUUCCUGUGCGCAUCGGAAGCAGGUGCCGAGGUGCUCCGUCUCCGUCGUCGGCGCCGUGAGCUCGUUCGUUCGAAAACAUGAGACGAGGUCAGUAGGCAGCAGAGGGAAAGGCGGCUCUACGUCGCGGCCGAGGGCCGCGAGGAGGCGGCGCGCCGCCCGCGCCCCGGGCGCGCGGCCACCGAGAGGCGGAGCAGGAGGGAGGAGAAGCUGCUGUGGGUCCUCGUCAAGUUCCUCUCGCACGUGGCCAAGCGCGUCCUCGUGUAGCGCGGCGUGCGGCGGCGGUAGCUGCGGAGGUUGGUGAAGGGGUUCCUCUUCUUAGACACCUUCGAGUACCCCCUGAAGUUGGACGUGCCGGAGUGGAGCGGUCUCCUCAUGCCUCCCGAGCCCGAGCCAAUGUACAUGGUGACGUAGCGGUACCUCCUCUAGUCGUCCCGCAGGCCCAGCCAGCCGGAAAGGAUGCCACGUGUGAGUUUAGAGACGUAGUUGGUCGACCAGGCAGUACCGUCGGGACGGGUUUUCCUUUUCAUAAACGGCUUCGAAUAGUCACCCCUCGUAUAACCCCGUAACCGCUACUCACUUGGUUUGAGACCGAGACUACAACAGUCAUACUUCACGUUUCGACUCUUUCAUCUACCGCCGAUACAGUAAUUGCCCUUGUUCUACACCACGUGUUUACCAGGCAGACGAGUCUGUAACCAACAAAUGCGCUUUUGUCUAUAUUGACGACCUAGCUUUCCUUAUUGACGUAAGUAUUAACUCUUCCCUUACGGGCCCAAGUCAUGACGGGUCUUCAACCUGUUUGAACCGUACGCUCCUUCACUGUGUACACUCGAACAGAAACUCUUGACGAAACACGGAGUUCUCUUACAAGAACCACUUCUUCCCUUUCCACAAAUACAGUACUACAGACCAGAACUAGACCUUUCUGAACAUAAUCGACCCCCGGGAUAACCCGAGUACGUCCGUACGGAACUACAACAAGAAGGAAUACAAGCUGUUUCCCUCGUUAAACCGGCAGGCUAACCACUUAAAGUCAAGAAUGUCCCCUUUUACCGUCUAUACAUGUGGAGGAACGUUAGUAGUUCUAGUAAACAUAUGAGUCAACGGUCCCUGACACUAUUACCGUUUCAACUGGCAUUCCUAACACGUCCUCACUAGGAGAAACGACGACUUUCCCGUUGUGUUCAACGUGAACUCCGUUAGGUCACAGAACCACCGUUACCUAUGUAUUUACUCAUGGGUUGACCGGCAGAGGACUCUCUACGUUUUGACAAACUCUAACCUCGACCGUGAUCACUCUAGUCUUCUUACUAUUAACCAGCACUUGACAAGUUUCUCCUGACUCUAAUAAGAAGACCUUCGGUCGAUAGUCACGUAUAAGAUUGACCUCCUCCCUGUUCGUACGGUCGUUCUACCUAAACUGUUUACCAUGUUUUGCUUAGGAGGAACCGGGAAUGGUCUAAGGUACUCCCCACGAGGUCUAGCGCAGCUCUGCCGCCGUAAACGCUGCCCCCUCCACCGCUGGAGGGGGCUACGGCAGGAGGAGCCGCUGCAGAAGAAGAGUCCGGACUUCGUACUUUUCGUAAAGUGCCGGGCUUAAGGGGUUACGUACACGGAGAGUUGGCUUGGAGGAGGAGCACGGGUGGUGCUCUAGAGGUUGGAGAGACGAGACAUGUUAGGUCUUCUGAGGAACGUGUACGUUACCGUCGUACCUGCUCCUCAAGAGGAGGGAACGACGCUCUAGGACCAGUGUCUAACGGUAGCGUGAGCAGAACGUUCUUCUUACGCUAGGGACACCUCCCCUACACUAGCCCAUCCUCCUCGUAACAGUGGCACGGAAAACACCUCCAGUUACACGAGUCGGUUCUUAUCCUAGAGAGAGCCAAAACCCGGUGUCAACUCGAGAUUUUAAUCUUACAACUUCCAGCCGCAGGAGACCUUACGUGACCUACAUUUGCGGAAGGGACUAAGGGACUUAAAAGAGUAAAAAACUGGGGUACC
rnacentral:rRNA from 1 species